ACCCCGGCGAGGGGAGUGAAAAAGAACCUGAAACCGUGUACGUACAAGCAGUGGGAGCCUCUUAAUGGGGUGACUGCGUACCUUUUGUAUAAUGGGUCAGCGACUUAUAUUCUGUAGCAAGGUUAACCGAAUAGGGGAGCCGAAGGGAAACCGAGUCUUAACUGGGCGUUAAGUUGCAGGGUAUAGACCCGAAACCCGGUGAUCUAGCCAUGGGCAGGUUGAAGGUUGGGUAACACUAACUGGAGGACCGAACCGACUAAUGUUGAAAAAUUAGCGGAUGACUUGUGGCUGGGGGUGAAAGGCCAAUCAAACCGGGAGAUAGCUGGUUCUCCCCGAAAGCUAUUUAGGUAGCGCCUCGUGAAUUCAUCUCCGGGGGUAGAGCACUGUUUCGGCAAGGGGGUCAUCCCGACUUACCAACCCGAUGCAAACUGCGAAUACCGGAGAAUGUUAUCACGGGAGACACACGGCGGGUGCUAACGUCCGUCGUGAAGAGGGAAACAACCCAGACCGCCAGCUAAGGUCCCAAAGUCAUGGUUAAGUGGGAAACGAUGUGGGAAGGCCCAGACAGCCAGGAUGUUGGCUUAGAAGCAGCCAUCAUUUAAAGAAAGCGUAAUAGCUCACUGGUCGAGUCGGCCUGCGCGGAAGAUGUAACGGGGCUAAACCAUGCACCGAAGCUGCGGCAGCGACACUAUGUGUUGUUGGGUAGGGGAGCGUUCUGUAAGCCUGUGAAGGUGUGCUGUGAGGCAUGCUGGAGGUAUCAGAAGUGCGAAUGCUGACAUAAGUAACGAUAAAGCGGGUGAAAAGCCCGCUCGCCGGAAGACCAAGGGUUCCUGUCCAACGUUAAUCGGGGCAGGGUGAGUCGACCCCUAAGGCGAGGCCGAAAGGCGUAGUCGAUGGGAAACAGGUUAAUAUUCCUGUACUUGGUGUUACUGCGAAGGGGGGACGGAGAAGGCUAUGUUGGCCGGGCGACGGUUGUCCCGGUUUAAGCGUGUAGGCUGGUUUUCCAGGCAAAUCCGGAAAACCAAGGCUGAGGCGUGAUGACGAGGCACUACGGUGCUGAAGCGACAAAUGCCCUGCUUCCAGGAAAAGCCUCUAAGCAUCAGGUAACAUCAAAUCGUACCCCAAACCGACACAGGUGGUCAGGUAGAGAAUACCAAGGCGCUUGAGAGAACUCGGGUGAAGGAACUAGGCAAAAUGGUGCCGUAACUUCGGGAGAAGGCACGCUGAUAUGUAGGUGAAGCGACUUGCUCGUGGAGCUGAAAUCAGUCGAAGAUACCAGCUGGCUGCAACUGUUUAUUAAAAACACAGCACUGUGCAAACACGAAAGUGGACGUAUACGGUGUGACGCCUGCCCGGUGCCGGAAGGUUAAUUGAUGGGGUUAGCGGUAACGCGAAGCUCUUGAUCGAAGCCCCGGUAAACGGCGGCCGUAACUAUAACGGUCCUAAGGUAGCGAAAUUCCUUGUCGGGUAAGUUCCGACCUGCACGAAUGGCGUAAUGAUGGCCAGGCUGUCUCCACCCGAGACUCAGUGAAAUUGAACUCGCUGUGAAGAUGCAGUGUACCCGCGGCAAGACGGAAAGACCCCGUGAACCUUUACUAUAGCUUGACACUGAACAUUGAGCCUUGAUGUGUAGGAUAGGUGGGAGGCUUUGAAGUGUGGACGCCAGUCUGCAUGGAGCCGACCUUGAAAUACCACCCUUUAAUGUUUGAUGUUCUAACGUUGGCCCGUAAUCCGGGUUGCGGACAGUGUCUGGUGGGUAGUUUGACUGGGGCGGUCUCCUCCUAAAGAGUAACGGAGGAGCACGAAGGUUGGCUAAUCCUGGUCGGACAUCAGGAGGUUAGUGCAAUGGCAUAAGCCAGCUUGACUGCGAGCGUGACGGCGCGAGCAGGUGCGAAAGCAGGUCAUAGUGAUCCGGUGGUUCUGAAUGGAAGGGCCAUCGCUCAACGGAUAAAAGGUACUCCGGGGAUAACAGGCUGAUACCGCCCAAGAGUUCAUAUCGACGGCGGUGUUUGGCACCUCGAUGUCGGCUCAUCACAUCCUGGGGCUGAAGUAGGUCCCAAGGGUAUGGCUGUUCGCCAUUUAAAGUGGUACGCGAGCUGGGUUUAGAACGUCGUGAGACAGUUCGGUCCCUAUCUGCCGUGGGCGCUGGAGAACUGAGGGGGGCUGCUCCUAGUACGAGAGGACCGGAGUGGACGCAUCACUGGUGUUCGGGUUGUCAUGCCAAUGGCACUGCCCGGUAGCUAAAUGCGGAAGAGAUAAGUGCUGAAAGCAUCUAAGCACGAAACUUGCCCCGAGAUGAGUUCUCCCUGAGACUUAGAGUCUCCUGAAGGAACGUUGAAGACGACGACGUUGAUAGGCCGGGUGUGUAAGCGCAGCGAUGCGUUGAGCUAACCGGUACUAAUGAACCGUGAGGCUUAACCUU
rnacentral:rRNA from 1 species